AUUCCAGCUCCAAUAGCGUAUAUUAAAGUUGUUGCAGUUAAAAAGCUCGUAGUUGGAUUUCUGGUACAACGCGCCUGGCCCGCAUUUGUGAGUGCCGGCGCGCGUUUGCCAUCCUUCUAGAAAACGUUUCUACCUGGGCAACUGGGCCGGACUCGCGAUCUAGAUCUUUUACUUUGAAAAAAUUAGAGUGUUUAAAGCAGGCUUUUGCUGUGAAUACAUUAGCAUGGAAUAAUAAUCUAGGACUUCGGUUCUAUUUUGUUGGUUUCUAGUACUGAAGUAAUGAUUGAUAGGGAUAGUUGGGGGUGCUAGUAUUGGCCGGCCAGAGGUGAAAUUCUUGGAUUCGGUCAAGACUAACUUAUGCGAAAGCAUUCACCAAGGAUGUCUUCAUUA
rnacentral:rRNA from 1 species